AUUGAACGCUGGCGGCAUGCCUAACACAUGCAAGUCGAACGGCAGCACGGCAGUAGCAAUACUGUGGGUGGCGAGUGGCGGACGGGUGAGGAAUACGUCGGAAUCUGCCCAGUCGUGGGGGAUAACUAGCCGAAAGGUUAGCUAAUACCGCAUACGACCGAGAGGUGAAAGCGGGGGACCGCAAGGGCCUCGCGCGAUUGGAUGAGCCGACGUCGGAUUAGCUAGUUGGCGGGGUAAAGGCCCACCAAGGCGACGAUCCGUAGCUGGUCUGAGAGGAUGAUCAGCCACACUGGAACUGAGACACGGUCCAGACUCCUACGGGAGGCAGCAGUGGGGAAUAUUGGACAAUGGGCGCAAGCCUGAUCCAGCAAUGCCGCGUGUGUGAAGAAGGCCUC
rnacentral:rRNA from 1 species